rnacentral:rRNA from 1 species
GUGGGGAAUAUUGGACAAUGGGCGCAAGCCUGAUCCAGCCAUGCCGCGUGAGUGAUGAAGGCCUUAGGGUUGUAAAGCUCUUUUGUCCGGGAAGAUAAUGACUGUACCGGAAGAAUAAGCCCCGGCUAACUUCGUGCCAGCAGCCGCGGUAAUACGAAGGGGGCUAGCGUUGUUCGGAAUCACUGGGCGUAAAGCGCACGUAGGCGGACCAUUAAGUCAGGGGUGAAAGCCUGGAGCUCAACUCCAGAACUGCCUUUGAUACUGAUGGUCUCGAGUUCGGAAGAGGUUGGUGGAACUGCGAGUGUAGAGGUGAAAUUCGUAGAUAUUCGCAAGAACACCAGUGGCGAAGGCGGCCAACUGGUCCGAUACUGACGCUGAGGUGCGAAAGCGUGGGGAGCAAACAGGAUUAGAAACCCGUGUAGUCC